GACGAACCGUGCGAACGUUAUUCGGAAUCACUGGGCUUAAAGCGCGUGUAGGCGGCCCGGCACGUCCGUCGUUGAAAUCCCCCGGCUCAACCGGGGAAGUGGCGUGGAUACGACCGGGCUGGAGGGGGGUAGGGGGAGCCGGAACUUCCGGUGGAGCGGUGAAAUGCGUUGAGAUCGGAAGGAACGCCCGUGGCGAAAGCGGGCUCCUGGACCCCACCUGACGCUGAGACGCGAAAGCCAGGGGAGCGAACGGG
rnacentral:rRNA from 1 species